AGCCAUGCAGUGAGCAUACAGCGAACUAUUCAUUUGCCUUUUACUAAAGAAUACCGUGUCUUGCUGCAAAUAGUGGCAUAUGCCAAUUUUUGAAGGGGUUUUCUUCAAUGAAGACC